AAGCACAGAGGGAGUUUUAGAGGAACAUCAACACAAAGAGAGUAAAAGCUUCAGCUUCACCAUCAUUUCAGUUGAAAACCAGAUAGAACGCAAGCGACUAUAUUAAUAUACUUAUUUAUAUGCCUCAAAGGGAUCUCAGGACAAGAUUCGCUGUAUCAAUUUCAAAAGAUAAAUUUAAGAUGAAAGGACGAAACCUGAUUCUAUUGUUCCUUUUAAUUGCAGCUUCUGCUACAACUGUAGCUCCCACCACAACUGCACCUCCAACAACUGUAGCCCCAACAACAGUAGCUCCAACAACUGUGGCCGCAACUACAACUGCAGCCCCGACAACAGCAGCUCCAACAACAACUGUAGCCACAACAACAGUAGCUCCAACAACAACUGUGGCCACAACUAAAGCUGCAGCCCCCACUACAACUGCACCUCCAACAACUGUAGCCCCAACAACAGUAGCUCCAACAACUGUGGCCGCAACUACAACUGUAGCCCUGACAACAGCAGCUCCAACAACAACUGUAGCCGCAACAACAGUAGCUCCAACAACUGUAGCUCCAACAACAACUGUGGCCAAAACUACAACUGCAGCCCCCACUACAACUGCAGCCCCAACAACAGCAGCUCCAACAAAAACUGUAGCUGCAACAACUGCAGCCCCGACAACUGUAGCUCCAACAACAACUCUAGCCGCAACUACUGCAGCCCCUACAACAACUGCAGCACCCACUGCAACUGCAGCCUCGACAACUGCAGCCCCCACUGCAACUGCAGCCCCGACAACUGCAGCCCCCACUGCAACUGCAGCCCCAACAACUGCAGCCCCUACUGCAACUGCAGCCCCAACAACUGCAGCCCCUACUGCAACUGCAGCCCCGACAACUGCAGCCCCCACUGCAACUGCAGCCCCAACAACUGCAGCCCCUACUGCAACUGCAGCCCCGACAACUGGAGCCCCUACUGCAACUGC